UCCGGUUGAUCCUGCCAGAGGUUACUGCUAUCGAGGUUCGACUAAGCCAUGCGAGUCGAAUGUAGCAAUACAUGGCGGACUGCUCAGUAACACGUGGAUAACCUACCCUUGAGACGGGGAUAAACCCGGGAAACUGGGUAUAAUACCCGAUAGAUCUCGACUGCUGGAAUGCAUCGAGAUUUAAAGCUCCGGCGCUCAAGGAUGGAUCUGCGGCCUAUCAGGUAGUAGUGGGUGUAGCGUACCUACUAGCCUACGACGGGUACGGGUUGUGAGAGCAAGAGCCCGGAGAUGGAUUCUGAGACACGAAUCCAGGCCCUACGGGGUGCAGCAGGCGCGAAAACUUUACAAUGCCGGCAACGGCGAUAAGGGAACCUCGAGUGCCAGGAUACAAUCCUGGCUGUCGUAAUGCCUAAAAAGCAUUGCAUAGCAAGGGCCUGGCAAGACCGGUGCCAGCCGCCGCGGUAACACCGGCGGCUCGAGUGGUAACCGUUAUUAUUGGGUCUAAAGGGUCUGUAGCCGGCUGGAUAAGUCUCUUGAGAAAUCCGGCAGCUCAACUGUCGGGCUUUCAGGAGAUACUGUCCGGCUCGAGACCGGGAGAGGUGAGAGGUACUUCAGGGGUAGGGGUGAAAUCUUGUAAUCCUUGAAGGACCACCAGUGGCGAAGGCGUCUCACCAGAACGGAUCUGACGGCAAGGGACGAAAGCUAGGGGCACGAACCGGAUUAGAUACCCGGGUAGUCCUAGCCGUAAACGAUACUCGCUAGGUGUCGGCCACGGUGCGACCGUGGUCGGUGCCGUAGGGAAGCCGUGAAGCGAGCCACCUGGGAAGUACGGCCGCAAGGCUGAAACUUAAAGGAAUUGGCGGGGGAGCA
rnacentral:rRNA from 1 species